CCUACGGGUGGCAGCAGUGAGGAAUAUUGGUCAAUGGCCGGAAGGCUGAACCAGCCAAGCCGCGUGAAGGACGAAGGUGCCAAGCAUUGUAAACUUCUUUUGUCAAGGGACAAAAUCAGGCGCGAGAGCCUGACCGAGGGUACUUGAAGAAAAAGCAUCGGCUAACUCCGAGCCAGCAGCCGCGGUAGUACGGAGGAUGCGAGUGUUAUCCGGAUUGAUUGGGUUUAAAGGGUGCGUAGGCGGGCUGUUAAGUCAGCGGUAAAAGCCCGGGGCUCAACCCCGCCGAGCCGUUGAAACUGGCUGUCUUGAGAUGUCGAGAGGUAUGCGUAAUGCGCAGUGUAGCGGUGAAGUGCUUAGAUAUUGCGCAGAACUCCGAUUGCGCAGGCAGCAUACCGGCGGCGCUCUGAUGCUGAGGCACGAAAGCGUGGGUAUCGAACAGGAUUAGAUACCCGUGUAGUC
rnacentral:rRNA from 1 species